GGGUAUUUAAUCAUGGAGGCGUUCGCAUGGACGUC
rnacentral:antisense_RNA from 1 species